rnacentral:misc_RNA from 1 species
AUAAAACCCUUUGGUUUAUUACUUGGUUUACUGGCGAACUCUCUAAAUUUCUGCUUUCUUUUAAAUGUUAAAGAAGCACUAAGCUCUUUCUCAUCCAAAAUACCACCAUCAUCCCUGACAUUUUUAUUAACAUCAACAGUUGGGAAAGUAACAGAAUUUGUAGGCUGUUUGUUGCCAACCUUUCCCAAUCUCUUCCUCAGCUUGAUUAACCGUUCAUCAACUUCCUUUUUUAUCCCCAUUUUAA